GGUAGCUCAGUUGGAUAGAGUACUUGACUACGAAUCAAGGGGUCGGGGGUUCGAAUCCUCCCC
rnacentral:tRNA from 1 species